rnacentral:lncRNA from 1 species
UGAGGAGGGGGAUGUCGCCCCCCGGGUGGUCCUUGACCCACCCGGUCACGUCGUAGACCUUCCCCUGGAUCGAGAUCCAGAGGUCGGCCUUGGUGUUAUGACCCCGGAGCUCCUCCGAGGUGAUGUACCUCCGCUUCUCUCCUUCCAUGGCCAUUACAAGCAAGAAGAGGAGUAUUAGCUACUCUAAUCCACUCCUCUGCCCAAAGGGAGAAUGGAAGAAGAGAUUAGGAGCUGAGGAGGAGGGAUUCCGAAACCCUCCUCUUUUUUUCUCUUCUUCUCUUCUUUCCGUCUCUCUCACUCUCCCUCUCCGUCGAAGAGAGGGAUGAGAAGAAAGAGGAAGGGGAAGACGAGCUUAUGGCCGCGGAUGGGAGGCUAAACAUAGGCCGGAACGGAGGGAGGAGAAGAAAAUGCUCGCGAAGGAGACGCACGAAUCGAGAUUGGGAAUGCUGCAGCUGUAACCGCCGUAACAGCAGCUGGGAUUGGAUCUUUUAUUUUUGAGCGGAAUUCGUUUUAGAUUUGGAUUUCUUCGGAUCUUUGACCCGAUUUUGGUCUCUCGAGGGGAACGAACUUCCCGUCUUUUGGAACCGCUCAGAUACUAUUACCGUGGGGGAUCCAAAUGUAGAACGAAUCUUUUUCUGCCAGCCGACUCAAAUGUAGAAGCAUUAAGCACCCGUCCAUAAAAAAAAUUUGUUUGGCUUUUCACUUAUUUUUAUUUAAGGGUUAACUCCUCCGAUGUCGAUCAAAUAUGCCGGACUUCCAUUAGCAUGAAUUGUUUGAUUUCUGCACUUCUAGGGCACAAAAUGAGCUGCUGGUAUUCUUAGAUGAGUUGCAUCUGUUGUUGAUUUCUCAAUCAUACUAUCUUGGUUACUUUGCCCAAUGGAAAGUACGCGUUCUCAAGAAUAUACUACAAAAAUUAGCUAGUGAAGGAAUUGAUUAAAAAAACUAUUAAUUGAAAAAAUUAAGCUACUGAUCAAAAUAGUUUUGAGAAUAAUUCAUGACAUAUUCUCAAGUCUUGCAACUUAUCUUAUUCUUACCUUUGUGCACUUCUUUUCAACUAUCCUAUUUUCAGCUCUACUAAACCCCCAUUUAAGAAGAUCAGUUUGGUGAUCUAAUACAGCAUUGGUCAUUAUUCGUGCAUUUAAAUACAUAAAAAGUCAUGAAUUGAAAUAUGUGAAAAAUGCUGAGGCGAUUCACAUGAAAAUUGACUUGAUGAAUGUUAGACACAGCCUAGGGUUGGACUCAACAUGUCUUUGUUCAAAUGACAACAUCGUGCCUAUCUGACUUCCCACAGACACCAUUUCUAUAAUUUGGGUGCUGAAAUAAUAUAUUUUUCUCCUGCAGUGGGAGACAAUUAAGUGUUAUACUUUUCUCACGUGGAUGGUAACCAAGUUGAAGUCAUGUACGCAGGAUCAAGGAUGCAACUUGGAUGGGGAUUAACCCUAACCCACCCACCCAACCCAUUUGUUAGGUAAGGUUUCGGUUGAGGCUUUGCAACUUUGGAUUAGGUUUUUGAGUUCAAAAAUCCCAAGCAGACCUCAAGAAGGGUUGAGCUAGGAUUGAUUUUCAACCCAGUUUGGACCCAAAGCCAGCGUAACUUAUAGCAAACCUAAGCUGAUCUAAGCCAACCUAACAUAACUCAAUCCAAACCAACAACAUAAAUAAAUAAUAUUCAUGUUUCAUAUAGUUUCUAAUAUAAUUAUAUAAUUAUAUAUUUAAUUUAUUAAAUUAUGUCUAAGUGUAUCAUUGUAAUUGAUGAAUGUUUGAUGCUUCAGGCCAACAAAUAUUGAUUUAAGAAAACUAUUUCAAACUUUUUUCCUUAUCUUUAAAUUUCUAUUUAAUUCAAUCUAACUAAAUUAACACGGUGCAACACAACUAAAUCUGCCUAACAACAACCCAUCCAAAUUUAGCUUGAGAUGGAGUUGUUUUGGAUUUUGUUAGAGAAAAUCCAACCCGAGGCUAUGCUGGGUUAGGCUAGAGCUGGAAGAUAUAGAGGUUAGUCCAAUUAGGGUUUGCCUCGACUUGCUUGCGACCUACGUUAGAUUGUAGCAUGACAUUGCCCAUUUGAGAAGGUAGGAGAAAAAAUAUAUGCCAUAACAAUUGAGAUACCAAAAUUAGUUUUUAUAUAAUUUUAUAUCACAAAGCUUUAAUAGAUAUCAAGAACUAAAGUUAUUAAACAAGUAAGAUUUUUGUUCUAGCCAACCGACCUUAAUUAACCCUGCUGGUUGGCACUUCUCUCCGAUUGGAAGAGGUUUGUGAUCCAAUCCCUAAAAGGGUGCCCUUGUUAUUCUUGCAAUUACUUAGAUAAGCUCCAUCAAUGAUUGGUGGAUAAAUAACUAGCUUAUGGGUCUCGCCUAUAGUACAGCUUUUGCACUGCUCCGUUACCAACCAUUGAAUGAUGGAGUCCUCACAUAUGGUGGUCAAUGGUUAAAAAAUAACUGGAGCCAAGUUCCUGCUGGUACCCUCAGGGCACUGAACACAAACCUCAUAUAUUAAAAGAACAGUGAAACACAAAUUGAUUGGCUCCAGUUAGUAUCCCUAGUUGGGUUGGAUCUCGUGGGAUUUAAGUUUGGUUGGGUCUGAAAUCCAUAUCCAACAGUCUUCGUCACAUAAUAUUUCCUCAACGGAUCAUCACAACCAAAUCAACCAAUGUCAUGAACCAAUGAAAUAUUUCACUACCAUCACUGCAUUUUAUUUGGUACAAAGGCAUCUCAUCAUGAUGCAAUCUUCACAUCCAAUUUGUUUCAACCAACAAAACUGCCGAUUUCAAACCACAUCUGAUCAUCCAAUUGGUUCCAUAGCUUUGUGAGAGAAGAGGAUCCAAUCACAUCAUAAUGCAUCAACAACAAUGCCGAGAGACUUGCAUUAAUGGAGUCAUCCCAAAAUACUCCAGCAGGUUCAGAGAUAACUAGUGUCCUCGAAUAUUUGUUAACACAGAAGAUCCAGUUUCUUUUAUAUCUGAGAUAGCAUUUCCUAUAUGAGUAGCUCCAAUAUCUGUUACAUCUGAGGUCGCAUUUCUCAUAUGACUGCGUCUCUUGGUUUCCCUUGGUCUCCUGUUACUGAUGGCAAUGGAGAUGUCAUUUGGAAAGAGGUCAUUGAGCACAAAUGCAUGAAUGAUUGUGGAGGCAAGCAGAGCUAUCACUGCUGAGGUAGAUAUGCCAGAGAGUGCAACAGAAAGUGACUGAGUGAAAAUAUUCUCCACUUCAGCAGAAUAUCUAAUGGUUGCAAUAGAAGCACUUGUCAUUGGAAAUGUAUAUGCCCACCAUGCUAGUGAGAACCUAUUGGAUUAACAAAAGAUUUCAGAAAAAUAACAGGAUGAUGGGGCAGCAAGACGCUAGGUUAUUGACAGAGUGAUUAUAAAAAAUCGAGUACCUGAAUCCCCGGAAAAAGUUAAUACGAACAGCCUGCAAAUACACAGAAAAAUGCAAAUAAUGAUCAGACACCAAUUUAAAGAAAACAAAGGUAAAGAUCAAGUAUGGAAAUGUGUUCAGAUCUGUUGGUUUUCCAUGCAAGCAAGCAAGAUUCCUCACAAUAAAUGGAUAGCACAACCAUUAGCACUAUCUCAGGCACUAUAUACCAUUCCAAUUAUUCUUCCAUUGAGCAUGCAAUGAUUGCUAAAUGGACCAUGAUUUAACUCAUCAGGAACCACAGAUUGCCACUUGAUAAACCAAAUUUUAUUGUUGUUCUUUCGUGUAUAUCUAUAUUUUGCGCGAGGUUCUAAUGGAAAACAAGCUACCACUUAUAUUUCCUUCUGUCAGUUUUAUUAUGUGACUUAUAAUUCUCACUAAUUCUGUCAGUAUGGGAAUUUGCUAGUCAUAUAAAUGUUUAUUUGAACUUCUAUCUACUUCAGAACACACAACAUAAACAACUGAACAGUGAAGUGCGAGCCCUUAACUUACCAGAGAAACAUAGAGGAAGAGAGCAAUGAAGUACGCAAUCCUCGAGCUAUAGCCAAAUUCCCCAGUAAGAUUUGCCCAUGCCAUGCUCGCAACACUGGGUGCGGCCACAAAUAAAAAGAAGACUGGAUGAAGCUCCUUUGGGAGCGUCUCAUUUGUUGGAAGCCUCUGGUACAAAGUUACGAACAACACCGAGUAGUGAGCUAACCCGACUGCAAAGAAGAAUAUGGGCCCUUCUUUAAGCCCCAUUGACGCUCCCAGCAAUGCACCCACAAAGUUUCCUACGAUAGCUAAAUGGUUUGAUGGAUUGGCUACUUUUGAAAGCCUACGUUGGCCGCCAGACAUCCACUGGCCAUAGAUCUUGAGUUCGAGGCACAAGACUGGAGCCAUAAGCACAUACCAUAGAGCAUCAUGCAGGUUUACUGCAAGUUUUGGUGGCAAACCGAGUGUCAAGAAGAGGCAGUUUAUCCAUGGGGCAAAGAAAAAGUUGACACGGAUGGGAUGAUAGUACUCUCGGCGGACUGCUUCAAAGUAAAAUAUGAUCUUUAGAGAGUAAAUGAAGGCCACAAUGCCCGUCAAUGCAAGUGCUAUACACCACAGCAUGAGGUUGAUUACUGGGCUUACACGCAGAAAGCUCAUAGAUGGAGAUGUGGCUAAUGUUUUCCACAAGAUUGCUUGGCUGCUAACGCCAAGGCAAAUACCGAAGGAUGAUACUGGGAAGCGAAGAAGGAAAGGCCACAACUUGUCUUCAGGAAGGACCAACUCCUCUGAUGCCUGGAAAAAUGUAACUAGUGAGAAAACGAAUCAUGAUGAAAUAGGAAGUUGAUAAAUGUAAAAAGUGGAAUGCUCUUAUUGCCUUCAGGAAGAACUUACUGCAAAUCAUCGAAUUCUCUUAUUGGUGUUCAAUGAGAUUUAAGGAAUAAUUAAUGGCUAGACUGAUUACACCAUGAAACCACAAAAAAGACCUAUAGCGUUGUCUGGACUUGAUAUUAGGCUGCAUGCACUUCUAUAAUUAACAGCUUUAUGCCCAACUCUAAUACAACACCCUGAACCUUUGGUAUUAUGAUAAUAGAUAUUCCAUUAUGAUGCAGACACCAUACAUCAGUAGAUGUUUUCUCAAUUUUACAAAGAUGGAGAGCUUACUGGUGGAAUCAAUAAUAAAUAAAAAUGAAUAAAUAGUAAGAAUCAUGCUAUCGAAUGUCCAAGAGAAUGCAUACCCUGAGGGUGUCUAGUUCAGGCCCUUCUAAGGCAUCAAAGUAGCGAUGCGGGGCUGGUACUGGCUCCGGUUGUCUUUUUGAACCAUCAACCUCCUGUGACUCUGGUGCCUUUCCGCGAAAAACUGAUAUCUGUCUUUCAAGGGCACCAGACCAUGUCUUGAAAGAGUUGUAACGGUGGUCCUUAAGCCUACUACUCCUUGGUACCCUCUGCUGACUCCCUGAAGAAUUAAGACCCUUUCUGUCUGGAGUUCCCCUGGCUUGAGAUGCUCCUGCUUCCAUGGGUUGAGAGUGAAACUUUGCCUGCUUUGGUACUUGUAAGUUGACAGCAGGAGAGUUAAUAACUAGAUUUGGCUUCAUGUUAGCAGAAUUCGUAGCAGCUUGAUCAAUUCCACUGGCUCUUUUGGCUUGUUCUGCGAGAACAGAAGGAGACGGUGGCAUGCUGAUAGACACACAAUGUGAAUGAUAGGGUGGUCUUAUCAUGCGAAUGGGUGAAUUUGGUGAAGGCGUGUUACAGACACUACCAGUGAGAAAAUUUGUAGGUUCUGCUCCCUGAAAUGAAACAUGAGAAGAUAGUUUGUUAUUGCCCUCCAUAAAUAAAAGAUAACACAAAAUUAUAGAACUAACCUAGUGUUGUUAGAAAAAACAUGUACGUGAAAGUAGGCUAAAUUCCACGAAAUUUAGGAGAGGUAUUGAAUACUACUGCGCUGCUAAUGAACCCCGCUCUGAUCCUAACUCAGUUCCUUGUUCUAUGUGGCAAUUGGGCAUUGGUGCAGUACGGAGGGCCACGGAGCACCGCAUUGGAACAGGGAAUGGAGCAGGGAAUAGAGUGAAGCUCGAUAGCAUUUUUCAUCCAAAUUAUAUGCAACAACAUAUACAUAACUUUAAAGAAUAUUAAACAAAGACAUGCUACAUUAGGAAGUUCAUUUCAAGAAUAAACUUGGAAUAUUUCAAAAAAUUGAAGUGGUAGAUGAUUAUGCGGCCAUUUUGGUGCCUUUUAGAACUAAAACUUGAUCAUGAAAAUGCUAUAAAAGAUAUAGCUUACUUUAGAGGCUGCAGGAUAUCCGCGAGGGCUGGGACAGGUAUCAAAUCCAGCAAAUUCAUUGGAUUGGAUGUAUCUGAAAAUAGAUGGAAGUUCUUCAGGGGCACCUUGAAUUGCUAAGCCAAUGCUGUCUUUGUUGUCCAUUAUGGUGCAAUAAAGCUACAAGAAUUCGGGAAAUCAGAUACAAGCAUUAAUAUUUACCAUGAAAUCUCUGUCAGAUUGACUAUAGAAAUUGUAGUGUAAUAUCCACAAAAUAUUGGAAGGAAAAAUCACUCAUACAAUAAGAAGAAAUUUAACUUAAUUGAGGAAAUUUUCAAGCUGCUAUCUCCAAAGAUAGAUCCUAAUAACAAGUAAUACCAGCAAUGAUGCACUCCUUCAGCCUAAAAAACAGAAAGCGAGAGGGAUUCGAGCUCAAAGGAGUCUCUCUCAACCCUUGCACAAACAAAAGCUACACUGUUACAUCUUGACUAAUAGGAGUUAUAAACACAAUAUACACAGGCCUCGAAGCUAGUGAUAUAGGAAGCAAUAAACAACCGAACGUAGCAUGUGCUUUCGAUCAUUUUUCAGGGGAGAUUCCUUACGUUAAGGAGCCUCUCUCAAACCUCAUAAACGAAAUCUCCACUGGUCCUUCUUGGCAAUGGAAGUUACAAAGAACGAGCUAAACUUCUUCGGUCUAGUGGAAUAAGAAGAAUAAACUAAAGAGCAGAACAUGUGCUUCCAACCGCCAGAGCUGGAGAAGAUUUCUAAGUUCACUUCGAUACAGAAUGGUGGAAAUGCCAACGAACGCACAAAUAAACCUUUUCCCACUACGGACAAACCUCAACCUUUAUAUACAAACAGAUCAGAAAUCUUAACCACCAUGAAUGCAUCACACAGUAACCACUGAAACUUCCUUAUUUUACAUCUACUAAGAUCAAAAUUCUUUAGAAAUAUAAUAAUUUUUUAUAAUUCAUUUAUAGGGUAUGGCUAAAAUAGGAAGCAAAUCAACAUCAGUAAUUAAACUGCUACUGGCCUUUUCCCAUGCAUGUAUAAUAAAUUGUGCUACCCAUGUUGUGCGAUUCUAGCUUGUAUAAAUCAUCUCUCACGACCAGCAUCCAAGCAAUCCAUCUCCAAGACAUCUUUGCCCAUAAAUAAUUCAUCUCCAUUAUCUCACGUUACCUUCUUCUCAGAUAAACACAAAGAAAACCAAUCUUUUUUAAUGAAACAACAUCCAAAUAUCAUUUUGUGGCUAAAUAUACUGCUUGCCAAUGAAAACAAAAAAUGUGGAAUCAUUGAUGGCAAAAAAAAAGGAGGAUCAUUACUUUAAAUAAAACCAAACAAAUUGCAUCAAGUUUUUCUUAUCGAAUACCACCCGAUUGCCAUUAAGUCAAGAUCAAAACUUUCCACCAAAAUUGAAAAAAAAAAAAGAAGAAAGGAGAUCAAAACGGAGCAAAAGAACCCAAGAUACCUGAAAGUGGAGGGCAAAUCAAUAUUUGUUUGACGGAGACAAAUCUAUAUUCUCGUUUUUGUUUGAAAUCUUGAACGAAUUACAGGUCUCCCAAGCACAGUAGGGGAUUCACCCCCUUCGCUACGUUCACCGACGCACAGCAAGAGAGACAAGAUCCUCAUGGCCUCGGUUCUAUAGCGACGGGCAGGGGAGCCCUUGAGCUCGGGAAAAGCCCUCGCUUUUCGAAGCUGCUUCGCCGGGGUCCGAAGCUAUUGCCAUCGCCAUUGUGCCUUUUUCUUUGGAUGCUAUUUUCCCAACCCCAAUUUGCGAGGGAAAUUUAGACGGGACGUGGGAUGAUUUGGAAUCAGACACACGAUACGAGACACGUGGCAUCACUCAGGAUAUCCAGAACAGCAUGGGGACCGUGCGGUCCAGGUCCAGCGAGUAUUGACCACGGUGACGGUGGAGGACGAGGGGGUCGAACCGUUGACCGGUUUGGGGUGAUGGGACGCGACUUCCGUGGUCGUUGCGGAAUCCACGGGAUAGAUUCGCGUGCUCGGGGCAUCUUGGUUCGCAGCAACUUGAACUUGAUGCUGAUAGACGGACGACCACCUCUCUGGUCUCGAGUGAUCUUUUGACCCAAAUUUGUCCACGGCUCAAGGCUAUUCUCUUUACCGAUUAUUAGCAAGUAGAAAUCUCAUUUCAAUCUGGAAAGCAAGAGCACGGAGGAACAGGUGGAUCUGAAAUAACAUGGAAACUGGUGGAUCUGAAUGAUGGCAUGAAACUGGCAGAAGAAGGCAUGCAUCAUCCAACACAAAUUGAUUAAAGAGGUUCAUGUGAUCAUGCCUUUCUCCAUACUAUGAAAUAAACUUAUUAGAAAUCGUAAUGUCAAUAAUAAUUUCAUAACCACCAACAUUGAUUAGCUAUAUGGAAGCUUGCACUAGCCAAUUAAUCGAUUGCUGGAAUGCAAACUACAUAUAUAAACUCAUAUUCGCAAAUUAAUCAGCUACUGGAAUGACAAUCAUUUGUAUCAAACAAAUCUGAUUACCAAACUAUGACACCUUACUUUAACUUCUAUCACAUUAUGACUUGUAAGCAGACCAACAGACAAAUUCACAAGCAGUUUGGGUUCCGCUAGCACACACCUGACAUGGACUAACAGGGUAUAAAGCAAUAUUCUUCAUCAAAUGUUAGCAAAAUCUUCCUGCAUAACACUUGCAAAGGCUGAUAAUUCAAAAAACUGCGCUUAAUUCACAAUACUAUUACAACUAUCACCUUAGCAAGCCCUGCUGAAUUAAUUCUGUUUUUCUUUAAGGAGAUCGCAUCAUUAAGGGAAAAAAGAAUAAAGCUUGUGUCAAUCAGGCUACAAUAACACAUUUCAAUGGUAUCCCUUCAGCAGCAGAAAACAUUGUAUUAAACAUCGAACCAUCUCAAAAUCUAAUACAACGUGUGCAACCGUCUGAACUUUUCAAGAUGGCCAUCUCAUCUAAAGCCACGAUGCACGACACAGAAAGACAGCUUCAAUGCUUGCUCUAAUAAGUUAUUGCUUGCUGUGAACAAGAUAGGAUGCCCAGACUUCAUCUGAAGGCUGUGGUGGCUGAACCCAGUGCCCAGGUAUCCGGCUGCACACAAUUUUUCACCAAACAAGAACUAUUAAUUAGAAAAAAGCAAAGGUUAUGAACCUUCUUUUCACUUUGUUUUUAAUGCAGAAUGAUGGGAGAUUUGGUGAAAGAAUAAUGAAGAACAAGAAACGGAAACUGCAAUAUUUUAAGCAACACUAGCAGAUAAAAGCCAUUUUCGUUUCAGAGCAGAACCAACUGUUCAGUGAAAUACAUAGUUAUCCCUGCAGAAUCAAUCGGAUAGCAAUAUACAACAACUAUAGAAUUGAAUUUGAAAUCAUUAUCUGGUCGUUCCUCCUUUUCCAUAAUUAAAAAUAAUUGAGAUUCAGAAGUUCAUUGCAUAUGCAUUUCUGAGCCCUUACAAGGACAGUAUGUCUCAAAUAUUUCUUGAGAAAGUAACAUGAUGAAGCAAAAUUUAGUGCAUCAGAUUAUCAUAGAAAGAAAAUGCAAACCAGAAAUUUUAUAAAAUAUUUAGCUUUCAUCAGCUUUUGACAAUAUUGUAAGAGUUAUGGGUGACCUCCGAGAGAGUUCAGAAAGGAACGAAUAUAAUUGAUAUAAUUGAUAUAAUUCAUGAUGUUGUAUUCCUUAUAUAAUUGAUAUUGGAUGCUGGGAUAUAUUUCGAACAUCAAAAUGAAUUAUUUCAUUACUUCCUAUUUCUAGCAUAGCUCACAUGAGUUAACAAGGAAGUUGGAGCAUACACACCUUCCUCCAGGUCUGAUGUAAGCAUCCCACAUUUUUCUGACCUGAAAAUGAGAUAGAAUACAAUAAGGAUUCACAUGAUGAUGACGAUACCUAUCAAAUCACAAAUACACAAAAAUGCAGAAAUCAUAAUCUUUGGACUGCCAGCAUUUCAAUAAGGUAGGAGAGCUUAACACAAGAAUGAAGAGUUUGAGAAAGAGAGGAACUAGAUUACAAGGGCGUCAAACUUUUAAGAUACCAUAUAAAAGGCAUCUCUUACAAACUAAAUUCACGCCUUAACAGCACCCUAUCAGUGACAUUAAUGGAACUCCUGAUCAAACCAUUGUGCGUCUAGCAUUCAAGAUAGCACCAUUGGCAUUGCCUACUGUGCCAUUGAAGAAAUCAUCAAAUAUACAUUAAAUCACCUGUGCUCUCACACUAGGCUGUAAUAAUACCAAACUAGUUUGCAGAAAGAAAAAUAAGUUUAGAAAGAUAUUAAUGAAAGGAAAGAAGUCAAGAGACACAAUUUGCAUGGUUGGGCAAAUUUGAUAAAUCCAAAAGGUCUUGUCUGUUCAAAAUUUUCAUGAUAUAGUAAAAGGACAUCUAGCAGUUGCUCCAAAGUCUGCACACCUAGAGUGCGUAUCUAAAAUUACCGACAGUAUGCAUGCGUAUUUGUGCAAGAAAGUGACCAACUUUAGUUUUUUAAUAAUAUCAAAAAGAAACCACAACUCUGAACUGGUAGAUGACCUUGCUAUCUAGAUAUAGAUUACACCCUCCUCCAAGAUGGAAGGAGGAAAAAACAUAGAGAGAGAGAGAGAGAGAGAGAGAGAGAGCAAGACGAAAACAAAAGAAAUAACUAANNNNNNNNNNNNNNNNNNNNAAAGAAAGAAGAGAGAGAGAGAGAGAGAGAGAGAGAGAGCAAGCGAAACAAAAGAAAUAUACCCCAAUGGCACAUGCAUGCACAAAAACAAGAAAAAGCCCCAAAAGGAAAAAUAUAAAGGUUUCAAAAGGUGUAACUUUCAGUAGUCAGAAGCAAUAUAACUGAUUUGCCAAAACUGAUAAAUUUAAUUCUAAGGAAAUGCAUUAUUUAAUAUCAUAGAGAUGCAUUGAGAAUUUUGUGACGACUGUUACUGAUGUCUCAGCAAUGUGAUCAUGCUUAGAAAGUUGACUGCAAAUUGACUUAGUAUUCUCAUAAAAAAAGUGACUCAAAUCAUGAACAUAACAGAUAAUCGGUAGUAAUCAGUACACUCAAAAGUUAAAGUUGCACAUAUAUUUCAUUGAAUCACCUCAAUUAGUGUUCCCAUAUCAUUGCUGCUUCCAUGAUAAUAGUGGUAGAACUCAAAUGGUAAAUUGGCAACGAAAUCAUAGCCUCCACCACAAUUUUGACCUUCAACUUUUUGUUGUUCAGAUUUCAGGUUUGCAUUUAGAUCUGAACUUCUUUCACCUUCAAUUCCACCUAACUGGUCUUCGUUCACUACCACCACACCUUUAUUAUGAUUUACAUCAUUUGCUUCACUGUUUGCACUGUGGAUAGCUUUUCUAGAUUCCUCCGCUGUUGCAAUAGCAUCCUUAGCAGCAUUUGUGUCAGCAGCAGCUGCAGCUUGGCGCUCCUCUUCUUCAACAGCAGCUUGCACUCGCUCAAGAAAUUUAUCAUCCUCUUCUGGGAGAAAAUGACCUGUACAAGUAAAAGCUUAUAUAAAAUUCAAUAAAAUUAAUCUUAUAUUACAGGACCCUUCUAUUGGUCUUAUAUUACUGGACCCUUCAAUUUACCCGCAACCCAUUCAAUCUCUUUGAUGAUCAACUGAUAGGCCUUUUCCACAACAGAAACUGUUGUUUAAUUUGGCUAACAUGCAUUACACUAGAUUCAACAAUUCUUACUCUCAUGACUAUAAGGGUGAGAAAGGAUUCAAGAUGAUACCAGCACUGAUGCAAACACACAUACACAAAUCCCAAGAAUCAGAAAGGCAGCAAUUUUUAUCAGCAUUACAAGUGGCAAUAAAAUCCAGUUUGUGUAAUGAAUGAACUAAUGCUCAUCACAUGCAUCUCACUACAAGGAGUACAGCUGUCAACCAAACUGAUUUUCCAUCUCAACUUAUAAAGUUAUUAAACAAUACAUUUCAAGUCAAGAAGAAAUGAGCUUUUUAAAUAAAUUUAGCAAUGUAUGCACACAAAUAAUAUGAGCAAAUCUGGAUUUUUCAGCACAGCUGAACUAGAUCUGAUCCAAGAUAAAGAUUCAAAAAUAAAUAAACAAUUAAAUACAAAACUUAGAAUACAAAUAUAUGUGUGAUGCAAGCAAAGGGAACAUGCCUUGUUUCUUCAAUUUUUGAAUUCUGAUGGACCGAAGCUCUUGCAACUUCUCCACAAUUAAUACAAGCUCAAGCUGAAAUUAGACAAUUAUUGGUUGAGAAAACAAAAUUUGCCAACGCCAAUUGUCUUUAUAAAUACCCUCCAACCAAACAUCUAUGAGAAAACAGUUAAGAGGGGAAAAAACAUUUUUCCAUUACAUGUAAAUUUAUUCUACAUGAAAGAAAACUAGCUUCAAAAGAACAGGUGCAAGGGAUAGUGCCAGAAAUGAUUAACAAGAAUAUACAGCCUGUGUUUAUUCAAUACAGUUAGAAAGUAGGCAAGUCAUUAUAAGGAAUUAAACUAAAAAUAUACAUACCACCAAAUAAAGGACAGUAACUGCAAAUAAAAAGAGAUAUUGGGCACAGUAGAGUAUGCACUCAUAUUAUCAGAAAAGCGAAGCAAAAAUUCAGAAGAUGUUGUAAGCAAAUGAAGCUUAGCGGUUAAUAUAAGAUUGAGCCCAAGAUUUUCUCAAAGAAAAAGAUCAAGCCCAAGACGUUGCAUGCAGUGUUUUCAUGCUUUAGCCUUAGUAUAUUGUCGAAGACAAACAAGUGAAUCAAAAUCAUGCACUGGUCUACGAGAUAAAUGUUCAAGGAACUUUCUAACUUUAGCACUAGCUAGGAUAAAAGGUAUUUAGUUACAUGGUAAGACAGCUAUUAGAUACAGGCUCAUGCAUGUAAAAAGGGUGUCAUCCUGAAUAAGGAACACAAACACAUGGGGAAUCAUAGUCCAUUCCUCCUACACUUGCAAUGUCUCUAGACCAUUAAGUACAGAAAACUCACAUGCUCAUCAAGUAUAACAUAACAGAAGUCAACUGUGAGCUUUCGGAUAGUAAAAAAUUAGUUAAAUGCUUAAUAAUUAAUACAUUCCAAGAUUGCAUUCAAAGCAUCCAUGCGAUAUAUACGUCUGGAAAGUCUCACCUCAGAUUCUAGCCUUCUUUUCUCCUCGUUAGCUUUGAGUUUUGCGAUUUCCUUCAAUUUUUCUGCCUGCAAUAUCCAUUUUACAUUACCCUUAGCAGAGGAUGAAAGCCACAAAUGGUCUUAACUAAAUAAAGGCAAGAUCAUAUGGCAGUCCAGCUAAUACUAAUUAAUGCUUGAGAUGUUUUCAAAAAGACCAGCUACUAAUUCCAUCCAAAAAAUACUGUUUGCCCCUUCUACUUCUCAAUGCUAUUAUUUUGUUGGAUUAUUAAUAUGACCUGAUAAGGUAGAGCUUCAGUCGGCCCCCAUCCCAUUACCAACACAAUCCCACCACGAAAUGGUUUUUCACUUUGACAAUGUCCUUCCAGAUCCUACUUGUCUAGACAUUCUACUCACCUCUGUUUGACCUUUACUCUAAACAGCAUUUUCUAAAAUCCUUCACCCUCAUCACCGAGUCUCCACACCCAAUCUCAACUAACAAGGCCUUACUCAUAUUCAUCAACGUUCUAACAUGAACAAUCCUUGAUUUCUGGACAUGAAACUAGGGUCCUAAUUCAUCAAAUGAAGUUUCCUAAUUGUGGGAAAUGCUCUCCCAUCUCCCAUAGAAUUCUUCCACAAGAUGCAGGAGAUAUGAGAUUUCAAAAGCGAUAAAUCAGUAUAAUGAAUCAUUUUUACCACUCUAACAAAUGGAUGCAGAAAAUGAUAUCUGAAACAAAAGCAUGAAAUAAGUGGGAAAAAAUUAUUCACAACACGAAGCAAGAAACCAAGACAUAAGGCAGGUGAGGAAUGCACCAAAAACUGCUAUACCACUAUAACAUUGCUGAGCACUUCUUUCCCUUUGAUUCAUCAUAUCGUACCCAUGUAAUAUGAAUUGCACGAGAUAGCUCCCAUAAAAUCAACCCUAAAUUUGCAGGAGAGCAGCUUACUCUUCCAAAUAAGCAGUCUCCCACAUCCAUGUCUGUAUCCUAAUUACGCCUCUUUGAAAUCAUAACCAUAAUCAUCUAGUCAGGUUUAUGGAUCCUUGUUUGCCAACAAUUUGUCCUAGAUUACCACUAGAAGACUUAAAAUCUUAAAUAACUCUUACUCAUUUGUCACAACAACAAGGUUACAUUGUAGCAGGUCACUUAUGGGCAACGACCUAACCAACCUUUGUCCAUUUGUCACUCCAACUGGGUCACAUUGAAGUGGGUCAUUUACGGACAACGACCUAACCAACCACUCCUCAUUUGUUACUACAGCCAAUUCAUUCGGCGGGUUGCUUAUGGAAUAUACCCUACACUUCAAGAAAUCAGCCCCUAAUCUAUUUCGCCCAAAUUUUAACCUAAGCACCCCUUAAACUACUUGUAUAUAGAGCUUUCUGAUAUAUGACAAUAAAUGAGUAUAAGAUAGCAAAAUAUCAAAAUGAACAGAUAAUAUGGUACCUUGCGCCUUGCAAUGUCAUUGGCAAUCUCCCUCAUCCUCCAUUCAUCAGCUUCCUGAUCAGCUUUUUCAUAACCUUCACGCUCCUGUGGAACAUUAAACACCCCAAAAAAUAUCAUUUGUUUACAAAUACAAAGUAGUAUGAUGGUGUGAGAUAACAGACAGCUCAAUAACUUUAGCAUGCUUAUCAAUAUUUAUCUAGAGAUGAACGAGAGGUGCUCUGAUUUGGCAAACGAAACAUGAACAACCUUACGUAUUAGUUCUGCAACACGUUUUCUCUUUCUUUUCUUCCAACGUUGGUUCCUCCUAGACUUUUGCAGCUUCUGAGCUAACUUUACUGCCACCAACCUUUCUUCCCAUGAACUCGCUUGAUUUGUGAUUACACUGAAAGGUGUAAGUUGAUUUUUAAGAGUAGAAAAUAUAGAGCUUGCAGCUUCCAUUGCAAAAGUCUCUUGAGCAUUUAAACUGAUCAUCUUUGCUUUAACUGUCUCAGAGAACUGCAGAAGAAUGUCAUUCUCGACAUGCUGAAAGGCGUCUCUAGCAAUGGUGUCAUUUGAAGACUGCAAGAUUUUUCUUUCUGAUAGGUGAUCAAAGGAUGAGAAGUUAUCUCUAUCAGCAUUAUCUUGACUGGAACUUCUAAUACGAUGAAUUUCCUCCAGUUCUUUCUGCCUGUUCGAGACAUAAUUUUGAUUAUAAGAAUUGAGGUUAAAAAAAAUGAAAAAUAACCUAAAUGUUUAGAAAAUGAGAAACAUACACUGCUUUCAUCAGAUCAAUAGUUUCUUUUAACUUUCUUAGCUGCUCAUGCACAUGUUCUGGUUGCCAGAAAGAACUUGCAGCAGACUGAAGAGGUUGCCAUGCUAGAAAUUGAGGUGGUGCAGACGAUCGUGGUGCUGGAAUCAUAGUGCAAAUGCCGGAGAAAGAAGCAACUGCAUGGGACGCAAUCUCAUUUGUAAACAACACAGAUAACUAGCAGCUGCUUAGAUUAAAUUAGCAAUUUAACAAAUAUGAAAUUAUCAUAUAUUCACAUAGCAAAUAACAGAUAUAGAUGGAACACAAGAAAGAAGGAAAAGUGUGUAAUGAUAGAUAAACAAUUAUGCUCAAAAAGUCUUCACACCCUUUGUUUGUUUGCAAUCAUGUCAUACACAACAUACCUCACCCUUCUGUCUUGUCAACAUUCAUCAAACAUGUAUCACCAUCCAUUCCAAUCACAAAGACCUCCUCAAGAUGCUUCUCUCAGAAGGUACCAAUAUCAAAGCAAUAGACAUCAGAUCUCUACCUACAUUUGGGUAGGGACUGGUUACAGUAUACCUGAAGCCCUAUAUCAUCACAUUCAGUGAAUGUAAAAACAACCUCUGCAAAGAAAGCACUAUAGUAGUCAAGCUGAUUCAUGGUCCACUUUUGCUGGAUGUGUCAGCCACUGACUGGGAGGCUUGUAUGCCAAAGCAAGAAAGGCCCAUCCUUCUUUCUCCUAUACGAAACUUUGGCAUCUGCCGUCACCUCACAAAAUACAAGCCAUUAUAUUGUAAGUUAUUCUGGAAAAUUGCCUCCCGUUAACAGUUUUAGAAGAAAUGGUGAAAGUACAUAGCCAAAAAGUUCUCAUGAAAAAUGGUCGUAUAUAGACAAUAACUUUUGCUGCUUCAUUUUUCAUAGCACUAUAAGGUUUCUAAUUUACAAUUUCUUUGGAGCUAGGAUUAUGAUACCCAUCACAAGGUUGAACACUUUAUAUGAUUGGUUACUCAAGGAAAAAAAACCUAGCUUUGACAGUUUUAAGAUAAAGAGCACUACCUCAUCACUGGUGGUAAAUAAUGUCUUAAAUACCUAUAAAAAUCAAAACAAUCUUGCAUGCAAAUCCACAUUCGAAAUGAAAAAUAGAUAAAUAUAUUCCAUUAUCCAAUCAAAAUGCACCACAUGAGUAUCAUUCAAGUCAUCAAUGAAAUAUUGACCAAAUGAAGUUUGCAAAAUAGAAGCCUGUAUAUUUGAUCAAUGCAAAAUAUGUAUGACUACACAAAGACCAUAUGUGGAGGACCAUAUGUGGGGAAGGAAGAAUCUACAGUACUUGCUCGUUCUAAGGAUUACAGGAAAAUAAGAGAAGCACCCGCCUUUGCCAUGGUGCUACUAAUAUGCUCUUGUGGUGGAGAGGAGGAGGAGAACAGAAUGGAAAAAUAAAUGAAACAAAAUGCAACCCUAAUUUGCUCAUUAAGACAAGUUAACAACAGGAAAUGGUCAGAAGGAACAGGCACUCUUGCAUACUACAAAAUAGCUAGCAUGUGUGUCAUACAUAAAUGUACAGGAAAGAUUUACAAGAUUUAAAGAUGCUAGAGUUAUGUUUAAUAUAGCAGAGUAUAUAGUGAAGAAAAAAUCAAUGGGCUUGAUAAGAUCAAGACCUGGAAGGCAUAACAUGAGGAAAGCAUGAGGCAAGUCACUCUGCCCAAGCAAUGAUGAUAGCUUGUUAACCAUCAUGUGAAUGAAAAAAAAAUAUAAAAUGACUGGGAUCUCUAAUAAAUAUGUGAAUGUUGAGUACAAAUCCAAAUAACAAAACAAAGCCUGAAGAAAAAGAGUGGUCAAAAUAUUAUUAAUAAUUGACACAAAUACUAUUGAUAACUGUCAUAAUAAAUGCACAGAAUAUGAUAAUUUGUUCACAAGGACUUAGCAAAAUACCUAAUUUCUCAACAAUAACUUAAGAAAUGACAUUUUGAGACUAGGGAAUAUACUAAUAUAUUAAUCAGGCAGAAGUUUCAAUUGCAAACGAGGAAAAUAUAAGUGAAAAGAGAUAAAAUCUCUUGGUUCCCUAUUUUCAAUCUAACAGUUCUGUCAUAUUUACCUUCUCUGCAACCCAAUUUAAAAUCAGGGGAGUGUGAAAAUGGCUUAGCUCAAAAUACAAUAAAACUUCACUCGAUAAUUGAUCCUAAUAGCAAUACUUAAAAAUCUUAUCAGCGUUCAAAUCCUUGUAUCUAAUACUGCAGUAACUAUCAAA